rnacentral:rRNA from 1 species
AGCAGCCGCGGUAAUUCCAGCUCCAAUAGCGUAUAUUAAAGUUGUUGCAGUUAAAAAGCUCGUAGUUGAAUUUCGGGGUUAGUAGGUUGGUCAUGCCUCUGGUAUGUACUGGUCUCACUGAUUCCUCCUUCCUGAUGAGCCGUAAUGCCAUUAAUUUGGUGUUGCGGGGAAUUUGGACUGUUACUUUGAAAAAAUUAGAGUGUUUAAAGCAAGCUAACGCUUGAAUACAUUAGCAUGGAAUAAUGAAAUAGGACGUUCGAUCCUAUUUUGUGGUUUCUAGGAUUGACGUAAUGAUUAAUAGGGAUAGUUGGGGGCAUUAGUAUUCAAUUGUCAGAGGUGAAAUUCUUGGAUUUAUUGAAGACUAACUACUGCGAAAGCAAUUUGCCAAGGAUGUUUCAUUAAUCAAGAACGAAAGUUAGGGAUCGAAGACGAUCAGAUACCGUCGUAGUCUUAACCAUAAACUAU